rnacentral:rRNA from 1 species
GAUGAACGCUGGCGGCGUGCCUAAUACAUGCAAGUCGAGCGAACGGACGAGAAGCUUGCUUCUCUGAUGUUAGCGGCGGACGGGUGAGUAGCACGUGGAUAACCUACCUAUAAGACUGGGAUAACUUCGGGAAACCGUAGCUAAUACCGGAUAAUAUUUUGAACCGCAUGGUUCAAAAGUGAAAGACGGUCUUGCUGUCACUUAUAGAUGGAUCCGCGCUGCAUUAGCUAGUUGGUAAGGUAACGGCUUACCAAGGCAACGAUGCAUAGCCGACCUGAGAGGGUGAUCGGCCACACUGGAACUGAGACACGGUCCAGACUCCUACGGGAGGCAGCAGUAGGGAAUCUUCCGCAAUGGGCGAAAGCCUGACGGAGCAACGCUGCGUGAGUGAUGAAGGUCUUCGGAUCGUAAAACUCUGUUAUUAGGGAAGAACAUAUGUGUAAGUAACUGUGCACAUCUUGACGGUACCUAAUCAGAAAGCCACGGCUAACUACGUG